GAUGAACGCUGGCGGCGUGCCUAAUACAUGCAAGUCGAGCGAACGGACGAGAAGCUUGCUUCUCUGAUGUUAGCGGCGGACGGUUGAGUAACACGUGGAUAACCUACCUAUAAGACUGGGAUAACUUCGGGAAACCGGAGCUAAUACCGGAUAAUAUUUUGAACCGCAUGGUUCAAAAGUGAAAGACGGUCUUGCUGUCACUUAUAGAUGGAUCCGCGCUGCAUUAGCUAGUUGGUAAGGUAACGGCUUACCAAGGCAACGAUGCAUAGCCGACCUGAGAGGGUGAUCGGCCACACUGGAACUGAGACACGGUCCAGACUCCUACGGGAGGCAGCAGUAGGGAAUCUUCCGCAAUGGGCGAAAGCCUGACGGAGCAACGCCGCGUGAGUGAUGAAGGUCUUCGGAUCGUAAAACUCUGUUAUUAGGGAAGAACAUAUGUGUAAGUAACUGUGCACAUCUUGACGGUACCUAAUCAGAAAGCCACGGCUAACUACGUG
rnacentral:rRNA from 1 species